rnacentral:lncRNA from 12 species
UUUACAUUUCUUGUCUUCUCACACAUCUCCAGUCAGAAAUUGCAAAAACUCUGCAUGGUUUUCACUGGGAGGGUGUUGGAGAAGAGUUUGCUUUGCUUAUCCAUCGUUAUGCUCUUCCUCAAUUAACAGCAGACAUCAGGAUAAUUAAAAUGUCCAUCCUGACCUUAUUUCCUCAUCCACCAAAAGAAGAACCUGUGGAGAUUUGGCAUCAUCAGUGAUGCCAUUAAUGAUGGUCAGGGGCAAUUUGUAGGUUAAUAUAUAAAAUAAUUAUAAAUCAUGUACAGGUUUCCCUCUAGGGUUGGAUGGAUAAACUUAGAUGGUACUUUAGUGUAUAGUCAGCCUAGAUCAACAUGGAAAUAAUGUUGUUUUUAACAGAACACUUGAAGCAGCAGGAUUCCAUCACUGCAGGCUUGGAAGGGAUGGGAUUGGAAGACACUGGAGUGCAAGUGAAUGGGCUCACUCCAGUCUCGAUGAUAUUUUGGAAAGAAUGCUGCAUGCAGUUCCUGGAGAUGAGGAGAUCCAAGAGCAACCUCAGGGGCACACUCUUGGGUGAGCUGAUAAUUUAUAUUUGUGUUCAAGGGUUUGUUUUGUGUGGUGUGUACAGAUCUGUGCAGGGCUUUUCAGCAAAUGGGCUGGGACUCCUUGGGGAGUGGAGUGUCAGGGAACUUGCCUGGAGACAUCAGUGUGAGCUCUCCUCUUAAAUUGAGAGGGAAAAGAAUGUUUUGUUAAUACAGCUUCCUGUAGGUGGAAAGCAGAUACUUCAACAGGCUUGGAAGGCAGUGCUGAUUUCAUAGAAAUCAGAGAUAAUUUGACAGAAUGGGGGAAUUUUUUGAGACAGAGAAAAUGUGCAUUAAGAGAACAGAGUCAUGAAAGCUUUUUAUAAAGAAGAGUUUGUGAAAAUGGUUGUGCUUUCAUGGCAGGAUAUUAGGAAAUUUGAAGAACAUGGCAGAAGUAAUUUAGACAUCAUUUUAAGGAGAAGAUUCAUAUCUCAAAUAACUUUUUUCCCUCUUAGAACU